rnacentral:rRNA from 1 species
AUUGAACGCUGGCGGCAGGCCUAACACAUGCAAUUCGAGAGAGCGGCGGACGGGUGAGUAAUGUCUGGGAAACUGCCUGAUGUAGGGGGAUAACUACUUGAACCGUUAGCUAAUACCGCAUACCAUCAGAUGUGCCCAGGUGGGAUUAGCUAGUAGGUGGGGUAACGUCUCACCUAGGCGACGAUCCCUAGCUGGUCUGAGAGGAUGACCAGCCAAACUGGAACUGAGACACGGUCCAGACUCCUACGGGAGGAAGCAGUGGGGAAUAUUGCACAAUGGGCGCAAGCCUGAUGCAGCCAUGCCGCGUGUAUGAAGAAGGCCUUCGGGUUGUAAAGUACUUUCAGCGGGGAGGAGUUACCCGCAGAAGAAGCACCGGCUAACUCCGUGCCAGCAGCCGCGGUAAGUU